rnacentral:rRNA from 1 species
UACGGAGGAUCCAAGCGUUAUCCGGAAUCAUUGGGUUUAAAGGGUCCGUAGGCGGUUUGGUAAGUCAGUGGUGAAAGCCCAUCGCUCAACGGUGGAACGGCCAUUGAUACUGCCAGACUUGAAUUAUUAGGAAGUAACUAGAAUAUGUAGUGUAGCGGUGAAAUGCUUAGAGAUUACAUGGAAUACCAAUUGCGAAGGCAGGUUACUACUAAUGGAUUGACGCUGAUGGACGAAAAGCGUGGGGUAGCGAACAGG